rnacentral:rRNA from 1 species
GACAGAGGGUGCAAACGUUGUUCGGAAUUACUGGGCGUAAAGCGUGUGUAGGCGGUCUCUUAAGUCGGAUGUGAAAGCCCCGGGCUCAACCCGGGAAGUGCACUCGAAACUGGGAGGCUAGAGUACUGGAGAGGUUGGUGGAAUUCUCGGUGUAGAGGUGAAAUUCGUAGAUAUCGAGAGGAACACCGGUGGCGAAGGCGGCCAACUGGACAGAUACUGACGCUGAGGCGCGAAAGCGUGGGGAGCAAACAGG